AACGUAGGAGACAAACGUUAUCCGGAGUUACUGGGCGUAAAGGGCGCGUAGGCGGCCUUCUAAGUCAUGCGUGAAAUCCCCGGGCUCAACCCGGGAACUGCGUCUGAUACUGGAAGGCUUGAAUCCGGGAGAGGGAUGUGGAAUUCCAGGUGUAGCGGUGAAAUGCGUAGAUAUCUGGAGGAACACCGGUGGCGAAGGCGGCAUCCUGGACCGGUACUGACGCUGAGAUACGAAAGCGUGGGGAGCAAACAGG
rnacentral:rRNA from 1 species